GGGUGGUGGUGCCAAGAAAAAUGCCUUUCAUCUCCUCAAAUAUUUCUCCAUUGAAGCAUCAGUACUGCACGGCACACCAGAUAAGAACGCGAUAUAUACAAAUCAAGAAAAAGUCUCCCAACCUUCGCUUUGCCACCGUACCGUAAAUACGUUUUCAUUCAUCUCUAAAGAAGAAGAUAAGAAGAUAUCAAAGAUUCUUGGAUAUUCGAAUCUUUUCAACUAUUUAAGCAACGACGGUCAUAUAUCUUCGUGGACUGCGAACCAAAGCUAACCGUUAAAACCAAAACCUUACAAAUUUCACGUCUGUUUUUCAACGGGACACAAUUAGUUACAAACAUGGGCACCACCAGUUGAGUACGCGAUCUAUUAAAAUCAUAUAUAAUGAUGCUGGGAGGUUGCGAAGUAGUCUUCGCACGUUUCGACUAAACAGCAUUUGAUUCUUCAAUCAAACCACUUUCCUGCCCUCCAUGGAGCCCACAAUAUAGGGAGGGAGGGGCAGGGCUCGCUCUCAGUGCGAUAUCAGACGCUGGAUCGGGUUGGCAGCCGGGUUAAAAAGAACCAGCUCAACGCCUUGCUCAACCCUGACUUGGCUCGUCAGCGUGACCUUUACCUAGGGUGUCUCGCGACACCUUACGGACUCGACCUCUACGACUGCGGCCCCGCAAAAUGAAUACAUCUUAGUUUUAAUUCUAAUCUUCUUUCCUUUUCACCAAUUUUUUUUAAGGAGAGGAAGGUGGGUUUGACGGUGGAGAGGAUGUAUAAAAAAUUUCUCUUUUUUCUGCAUUAUCUUCUCUGUCCAUCAAAGGUUGGCAACUCGUCUGCAAUUUUGUAUGUUGCAGACGUUUGAGCAGCGGUCAUCGCUACUUUCGCGACAUAAUUUGGCUGCUUGCUAGUUUACCACCUUUUUAGUGCGUACUAUAUGGAAUUUAUGUAAAAAUAUUUACAAGAAAAUACUGUAUUGAGGUAAUUUCUAGAAUCAAAUGUAGGUAAACUGAUUUUAUACAGUUUUCCAAAUAUUUUAAUCAAUCCAAUUGCUAAUGUUUUAGUUUCAAAAAUAUCUAACUAAUGUUAUAGUUCUACAAAGUCUUCACAACCGGUGGAAAAAAGUGAUACAAAGUAGCCGUCAGUUGUAAUUGGCUUAUGUUGUGUCAUUUUCUAUACCGCGAUGGCAGCGUGAUAAGUUUGUGGGACUAGUUUUAUGUUAGUUUCUUAUAAUGUGCAUUCAAAUCUAAAUUGAGCCGUUCUGUGGCUUUGUGAUCUAAAUCACAUCAUCUUACUAAAACAAGAAUAUUCAUGUUAGUUCUAAUUCUAAUCUUCUUUCCUUUCCACCAUUUUUAUUAGGAGGGGAAGGUGGGUUCGACGGUGGAGAGGAUGUAUAAAAAAUUUCUCUUUUUUCUGCAUUAUCUUCUCUGUCCAUCAAAGGUUGGCAAUUCGUCUGCAAUUUUGUAUGUUGCAGACGUUUGAGCAGUGGUCAUCGCUACUUUCGCGAUAUAAUUUGGCUGCUUGCUAGUUUACCACCUUUUAAUAUAAAAAUAUGUUGCAAUUAAAUUAUAAUUUGUUCUAACAGUACUUUACAGUACAUUAUGUUUACAAUCAAAAAUAUUUGUCAUUGUUGUUUAAUUUUCAAUGUAAACUUUGAUGCUAUGUUUGUAAAUUUGCUCCAUGUUUGGCAGAAAACAAAAAAAAUAUUAAAAUU